UUUGUGCACGGACAUGGUCUGGGUGAGCAGACACAAACAUUGUGCUGUCCUCUGUAUGUGUAGUACCUCUGUGCUUGAUUGUGCACAUGGUCCGGGUGAGCAGAUGUAAACAUCGUGGAUUUGUUUGCUGUUGGUCACGCUCAUUCUUCUUUGAUCUGGAAAACCUUUGGAAAGUAGUUCGGGAUUGAUGGCGGUGUUGCAGGUUUAGUUGAUCGCUGUUCCUCCAGUGUUUGUUAUUUUGUAUUUCCUCAGCUAGCC